AGUGAACGCUGGCGGUAGGCCUAACACAUGCAAGUCGAACGGCAGCACAGUAAGAGCUUGCUCUUACGGGUGGCGAGUGGCGGACGGGUGAGGAAUACAUCGGAAUCUACUUUUUCGUGGGGGAUAACGUAGGGAAACUUACGCUAAUACCGCAUACGACCUACGGGUGAAAGCAGGGGAUCCUCGGACCUUGCGCGAUUGAAUAAGCCGAUGUCGGAUUAGCUAGUUGGCGGGGUAAAGGCCCACCAAGGCGACGAUCCGUAGCUGGUCUGAGAGGAUGAUCAGCCACACUGGAACUGAGACACGGUCCAGACUCCUACGGGAGGCAGCAGUGGGGAAUAUUGGACAAUGGGCGCAAGCCUGAUCCAGCCAUACCGCGUGGGUGAAGAAGGCCUUCGGGUUGUAAAGCCCUUUUGUUGGGAAAGAAAAGCAGCAGGUUAAUACCCCGCUGUUCUGACGGUACCCAAAGAAUAAGCACCGGCUAACUUCGUG
rnacentral:rRNA from 1 species